rnacentral:rRNA from 1 species
UACGGAGGGGGCUAGCGUUGUUCGGAAUUACUGGGCGUAAAGCGCGCGUAGGCGGACCUGCAAGUCGGGGGUGAAAGCCCGAGGCUCAACCUCGGAACUGCCUUCGAUACUGCGGGUCUCGAGUCCGGGAGAGGUGAGUGGAAUUCCUAGUGUAGAGGUGAAAUUCGUAGAUAUUAGGAAGAACACCGGUGGCGAAGGCGGCCUGCUGGGCAGUGGCUGACACUGAGGCGCGACAGCGUGGGGAGCAAACAGG